AAAUUGGUGCACACUGAAUAACGCGCGUAGCGGGUUAUUUAACGGUGUGCACCACAUUUUUUAUGUUAUUUCGAAUAGACAGAAAAAUAUUACAGUAAUUUCUUAUAAUUUAAUUCUAAAUUCCAUUUUAAACCGUAGAAAACCAUGAAAAAACGUUGAUGACGUCACGGCCACAUGACUAAAUUAUGUCUAAAGGCUGAUAACAAAAUAACGUCAGCAAUUCAGAA
rnacentral:lncRNA from 1 species